rnacentral:rRNA from 1 species
UACAGAGGUCUCAAGCGUUGUUCGGAUUCAUUGGGCGUAAAGGGUGCGUAGGCGGCGCGGUAAGUCGGGUGUGAAAUCUCGGAGCUUAACUCCGAAACUGCAUUCGAUACUGCCGUGCUUGAGGACUGGAGAGGAGACUGGAAUUUACGGUGUAGCGGUGAAAUGCGUAGAUAUCAGGAGGAACACCAGCGGCGAAGGCGGCGCUCUGGGCCGGUACUGACACUGAGGAGCGAAAGCGUGGGUAGCAAACAGG